rnacentral:rRNA from 1 species
AGAGUUUGAUCAUGGCUCAGGAUGAACGCUAGCGACAGGCCUAACACAUGCAAGUCGAGGGGCAACAUGGUAUCAGCUUGCUGAUACCGAUGGCGACCGGCGCACGGGUGAGUAACGCGUAUGUAAGUCUACCUGUAACAGAGGGAUAACCCGGAGAAAUCCGGACUAAUACCCUCGAUAGCACAUAUUAUUACGCAUGAAUUUUAUGUUAAAGAGACUCGGUUACAGAUGAACAUG